UCGUUUCCUCCAGUUGCUCUUCUGGCUAGCACUAUCCAUGAAUCUUCUGAUUCCCCUGAUGACGUUCAAGCCAUGGAGACACCCACCCUUCAAUAGAGAGAUCUUCUAGACGAAAAGGCCCCCCUGAAAAAGCUAAGAUGAGGUAAACGGUUUGAAGCUUCUCCGACCAAGUCAUCCCCAAAAACAUCAAAACCGUCACGAUCAGAAGUGUUUAUUUCUGACUCUCCCUCCAAGAAAUCUGCAAAAGACACCACUCUGCCUUUGCAUUCUCAUGCUAGCACUUCUAUGGUCUCUGAUGUUCUUAAAGGCAAAGGUCAAGUUUUCGGUCAGCCUUUUGUUCCCGUUCUGCCUGCAGCUCCAUCUCCUUCGGCCUCUGAAGAAAUUUUAGUGGUAUGCUCUCCCGCCUCAACUUUCUAAGGUCGUCCAAAAAUCAUCCUCCCAAAACAACCCUGGGUACAUCCUCUCAAGUUGUCUUAGUUGUUGAACAUGUGAAGGCUCUAUAUGAAUCUUCAGUCAACGGAGUUCUGGAGAAGUGGGUGGACUGCUGAUUUGGAGAAAAUUGCGGAUGAGAUUUUGGCUGAUCCUUCUCUUCCGAUGAAGCAAUGUAUCUGCGGGGAUUAUCUCAAGGAUUUAAGCAGGUUGAUUGGAAGCCCUAUCCCUAAAAACAUUGACAUUCUGGAUUCAACCCAGCAGUUCCUUGACGUUCACAAAGCUUCCUCUGAGAAAAUAAACCUGCUCAACCUAAACUAGAACGCCUGAUGGAGGCAGCGAUAGCUUCUUAGGCUAAGAUAAAUUGCCUAGAUGAGCAGAUCAAUAUCCUGCGAGAGGAAAAAGAGAAGGAGAAACAGUUGAUAGAGUCCAGCGCUCGGGAAUUUAAAGAACUCUGUGGGGAAGUUGCUCAGUUGGCUGAAGCUCUUCAAGACUCUGAAGCCCGUGUUGAAGUGUGGCAGAGGGACAUACUGGAAGUCUCCCAUCAACUAUCUCAACUAGAUUUCAAACUCCAAGCUGGUUGGUCCUAGUUGGUUGAUCGUUUUAACCUUGAGGCUGGUGAGCCUGAUAAGCCUAAGGGGAAUGCCCCUUAAUAUGUUUGGAUGAUUUUCCCUCUCAUCUUUUUACACCUCUUUUUCCCUAGUUGUGAACAUUUAUGGUUGUUCUUUUUGGUAAUGCAAUGAUUUCCUUUUGCUUUUGUGCUU